GAUGAACGCUGGCGGCGUGCCUAAUACAUGCAAGUAGAACGCUGAAGGAGGAGCUUGCUUCUCCGGAUGAGUUGCGAACGGGUGAGUAACGCGUAGGUAACCUGCCUGGUAGCGGGGGAUAACUAUUGGAAACGAUAGCUAAUACCGCAUAACAGUAGAUAUCGCAUGAUAUCUGCUUGAAAGGUGCACUUGCAUCACUACCAGAUGGACCUGCGUUGUAUUAGCUAGUUGGUGAGGUAACGGCUCACCAAGGCGACGAUACAUAGCCGACCUGAGAGGGGGGUCGGCCACACUGGGACUGAGACACGGCCCAGACUCCUACGGGGGGCAGCCGGAGGGAAUCUUCGGCAAUGGACGGAAGUCUGACCGAGGAACGCCGCGGGAGUGAAGAAGGUUUUCGGAUCGGAAAGCUCUGUUGUAAGAGAAGAACGAGUGGGAGAGUGGAAAGUUCACACUGUGACGGUAUCUGAACAGAAAGGGACGGCUAACUACGUG
rnacentral:rRNA from 1 species